rnacentral:lncRNA from 1 species
UCAAAAUUAGAAAUUAGAAAGUGGAGAAAUUCCACAAAAAUUGGUUAUAAGUUCAUGGGAUAGGGUUUGAGCAUCUUAAGAAAAAAUUUGGGAACAACUGCGUGUAUUUAUAUCUUUGCCCUUGGUUGUAUUUUCUUAUAAGCUGUGAUCGCACCAGAUUGACCGCAAUUUUGGCUACUGUGACCACGAUAAGAGCCACAAGAAUGUAGUAUGUUGACCUUCUUGACUGACCGCGAUCGCAAUUCUCAUACCGUAAUCGCAUUAACUGAGGCUAUGUUCUGCUCUAGGUCUUCAAACUACACUUGUCUUCUCCUUUAGAUCUUUUGCAUCUCGUGCCUACAUAUUCUUAGUUCAAUACUUUUGUGCCUACAAAAUAUGGAAAAUAGUUCAUUUAAUCACAAAUUUGUCUUAUUUAGACAUUCAAAUCAUAGUAGUGUGCACGAAAAUGGUGUGCAAAUGAGUGGUAGAUUCACCACACAUCAACUCUCCUAUCUAGGUUGACUAGAAUAGGUGUUUUCAUGAUUCUAUUAGUUGAGUCAUGGCAGUUAGUAUUAGAGCACUAUGUUAUUGACCUCACAAGUACAAGAGUAAAUAUCUGUAGAGUCCUACGAAUUGGUGUGUAGAUGUUCACAUAAAAUUCUUGAGAAGCUAUUAGGCAUUAUAGGAAUUAUUUCCUUUUUUUGCUUCUUAUAUGUUACCUUAAAUUUUGUUUAUCUAGGUUGAGCCCAAUUGGUAUCUAGUCAAUUUAAUAGGUAUCUUGAGGAGUUUCCAACUGAAAUCUAGUUGUUUCUAAUUGAUAUCUCUCCAUAAGAUCUUAGACUUAUGAUUGUUAUAUAAAUUAUGAUGAAAAUUCUCGAUUGUAACUUUAUUGGUUUAUUAUCAGAUGUGAUUGUGAUUGUUUAUUGGCUUGAUGGUAGUACUGGUAUAAUUAACCAAAGUGUUGUUUGUAUUAGCGAUUUUAAAAAAUGGUUUUUGGUUUUGAAUUUUUUGAUAGAUGUAAGGUUGAUUGGUGGCUAAAAUAUUUGUUGAUGGUUGGAUUGUCGAUUAAAUAAAUGAAAGAUCUGUUAUUGAUUGAAUUGUCUGUUAAGUGGUUGAUAUGUUAGCCCUUGGCAUAAAAGUUGAAUGAUGUGUUUGAUAAGAUGUGCUGAUAAGUUACAGGUCUGAUGUGGGCGUCAAUGUCUAUUUAAGGUGACAUACAUAUUUAUACAUCAGACUUUAUUUGACUUAUUGGUUUUGACUAUUGAUUGAGUAAAUUUGUUGAAUUGUGAUGGUAAUGUGUAGUUUAUAAGGAAAUCGUGAGAUUAUGGUAGAACUAGGUUCCCGUAUAUUUGUGAAUAUGGUAAUUAUGGCUUCUCAUUAUUCAAACUAGUCACACAUAUGUUAAUUUACAUAAUGACUUGUAAUUGGCUUAUUAUUUUAUGACAUUGAUUAUAUACUUAUUAUAUAGGAAUAAUGAUCAAUAAAUAGUAUCUCUUGAAUGUGAGAUAAUUGAAUUAUAAAGGUUUGAAAUGAGAUUGUUUGAUUUUGAUUGAUGACCCUUAGUUGUAUAAUCAAUUGAGGGAGUAGAAUUAUUAGAGGUGUUCUUGCACAUUCAUAUCUUUCUCAUUAUUCAUGAUAAUACUUGGUGGUUAUUGCUAUUUGACUAAUUGUGGUGUAUUGAGUUGGUAAUUUUACUAACCAUAAGAUAGUUUUAAGGCUAAAUGAACAUAGCUUGGGUGAUAAGUAAUGAGAUGGUUUUUUUAUAAGAGAUUAAUUAUUUAGGGCCGAAUAGAGUAAUGUGAGUUAUGGUGGAGAACUUAUGUAUUAAUGAAACCCAUAGUAGUGUGUUGGUUGUUAGUUUCACUAUAGAUAAUUUAUUCUUGUGUUCUGAUCAUGGAGGAAUAAAAAAGAGUCUUACAGUAGAUGUCUUGAGGGGAAAGGUGCAAGUAUUUGGUGGUGAUGUAUUUUUUAUUGAAUUGCUUUUGGUGUAAGUACCCUUGUAGAGUUUUUCCUAGGAUGAGAGUUGAUAAAAAUCUCAGGCUAAGAUGGGUUCCAUUGAAAACCCAGCGUUGUGUGGUUUAGAGUAAUUUGUUCUCGUGGUAUAGUGUUUGAUGAAAUUAAGGUGAUGUCAUGAUAAUAAGGGAUAUAGUAACCCAUAGAAACUUUCAAAAUGGAAUUCGGGCAAGUAUAACUACGAAUAUAGCAUUUGACAUAAAAAGGGUUAGUUUGAAAUGUCAAAAUUUGAGUAAUGUGUUGACAAAAUGAAAAAAUUGAGAAAAUUCUAAGUUUCUACCUCGCCUACCAUGAUACAAUGGGACGUCAGCCUCUACCACAGAGCCAUUAUAGAAAAAAUAUUCUUGUUAUAGUAGGAGUCAAUAAUCACCAGCUACAAUAUAACACACAGAUCUUGCUAUAGCAAGGCUGCUAUAGUGGGAAUUGGGCCGCUAGUGGGUUUAAUUUAAUAAUUUGUUCAGUUUUCUCCAAGUUUAGAUGUUAUCUCAUCAUGAACUCUCAAGGUUUCAUUCUUAAAUAAUUUUGAGGAAAAUUUCUAAUUCAUGUGUAAAUGCUGGCUACAUAUCUUUUUAUCUUGAAAAGCCUCGAUAGAGAGGCAAAGCAUA